rnacentral:rRNA from 2 species
AGAGUUUGAUCCUGGCUCAGGAUGAACGCUAGCUACAGGCUUAACACAUGCAAGUCGAGGGGCAGCAUGGUCUUAGCUUGCUAAGGCCGAUGGCGACCGGCGCACGGGUGAGUAACACGUAUCCAACCUGCCGUCUACUCUUGGACAGCCUUCUGAAAGGAAGAUUAAUACAAGAUGGCAUCAUGAGUCCGCAUGUUCACAUGAUUAAAGGUAUUCCGGUAGACGAUGGGGAUGCGUUCCAUUAGAUAGUAGGCGGGGUAACGGCCCACCUAGUCUUCGAUGGAUAGGGGUUCUGAGAGGAAGGUCCCCCACAUUGGAACUGAGACACGGUCCAAACUCCUACGGGAGGCAGCAGUGAGGAAUAUUGGUCAAUGGGCGAGAGCCUGAACCAGCCAAGUAGCGUGAAGGAUGACUGCCCUAUGGGUUGUAAACUUCUUUUAUAAAGGAAUAAAGUCGGGUAUGCAUACCCGUUUGCAUGUACUUUAUGAAUAAGGAUCGGCUAACUCCGUGCCAGCAGCCGCGGUAAUACGGAGGAUCCGAGCGUUAUCCGGAUUUAUUGGGUUUAAAGGGAGCGUAGAUGGAUGUUUAAGUCAGUUGUGAAAGUUUGCGGCUCAACCGUAAAAUUGCAGUUGAUACUGGAUAUCUUGAGUGCAGUUGAGGCAGGCGGAAUUCGUGGUGUAGCGGUGAAAUGCUUAGAUAUCACGAAGAACUCCGAUUGCGAAGGCAGCCUGCUAAGCUGCAACUGACAUUGAGGCUCGAAAGUGUGGGUAUCAAACAGGAUUAGAUACCCUGGUAGUCCACACGGUAAACGAUGAAUACUCGCUGUUUGCGAUAUACUGCAAGCGGCCAAGCGAAAGCGUUAAGUAUUCCACCUGGGGAGUACGCCGGCAACGGUGAAACUCAAAGGAAUUGACGGGGGCCCGCACAAGCGGAGGAACAUGUGGUUUAAUUCGAUGAUACGCGAGGAACCUUACCCGGGCUUAAAUUGCAGAUGAAUUACGGUGAAAGCCGUAAGCCGCAAGGCAUCUGUGAAGGUGCUGCAUGGUUGUCGUCAGCUCGUGCCGUGAGGUGUCGGCUUAAGUGCCAUAACGAGCGCAACCCUUGUUGUCAGUUACUAACAGGUUCCGCUGAGGACUCUGACAAGACUGCCAUCGUAAGAUGUGAGGAAGGUGGGGAUGACGUCAAAUCAGCACGGCCCUUACGUCCGGGGCUACACACGUGUUACAAUGGGGGGUACAGAGGGCCGCUACCACGCGAGUGGAUGCCAAUCCCCAAAACCUCUCUCAGUUCGGACUGGAGUCUGCAACCCGACUCCACGAAGCUGGAUUCGCUAGUAAUCGCGCAUCAGCCACGGCGCGGUGAAUACGUUCCCGGGCCUUGUACACACCGCCCGUCAAGCCAUGGGAGCCGGGGGUACCUGAAGUGCGUAACCGCGAGGAGCGCCCUAGGGUAAAACUGGUGACUGGGGCUAAGUCGUAACAAGGUAGCCGUACCGGAAGGUGCGGCUG